AAAGGUGGUGGAGGUGGAAACCUUAGUGUUUCGCUCAACGGAAACUGAAAGGCUGGGCCUGCCCGCUGCGCUGGAGGGGGAGGGAGAAGCAGAAGGGAGCGGAAAGCAAGACCAGAACCCUGCCAUGGCUCCCGCAGCGGGAGGAGCUCUUCUGACCCGCCUCCUCUCGUUGAUUGGGUGCCUCGCCUCCCGCCGCGUGUGAAAACACAAAUGGCGUUUGCUGGUUGGAGUGAAGCUCCUGUCAGUUACGGCCUCGAGAAUACGCCGCUGCCUAGGCUAUCGGACUGCCCCAUGGGCGGGGUAGACAAACUCGUAAAUGACACAUUUCAACUGAAAACAGGUCUAGAGAAAUCUGUGAAGAGUAUUGCUACAAAAAUCUACAAGACGAGAUCAGGCUGUUUAUGGAACGGACUUCGGAUCACCAGAUUCUGAUUUGUUCCUUGCCAUUGCAACUUCCCUGGUCUAUGCUCCAGUUUAUCAAGUCACAUCACUACCCCUUGAACAUCUUAGCUUACUAUGUGGUCUCUGGCCUUUCAGGUUUUUCUGUUCUUCAAAUCCACUGUUCACAUCCCUUUGAGAAUACUCUUUCUUAAACACCGAUUUCAUUAUGUUAACCAAAUUCUGAACUAUGAGAAGAAAUGAUGUCUCCUUUAUAAUCUGGAAGAGGAAGUUAAUAGUACAUAAGAAAGGAAAUAAAUAUUCUACACAUUCAAUAGAUGACUAAGGGUUGAUAUGAUAGUUAUCCUCAAGUACUUAGUGCUGUCCUAUAGGAAAUGAGUAGAUAUAUUCAGUAUUGCCCCAGAAAGCAGAACUCAAACAUAUAGUAAGUUACAGGAAAACAGAUUCCUGCUGAACAUAAGGAAGGGUAGCCUUGUGUCUGUUUAUUCAAGGAGAAACAUUAUUCUAAGAACCCCAUUUGAGACACCAUGCUAUAGUUUUGCAUGACUUUACAUGUUAUCAUUGGUAUCCAAUUGCCUGGCUUCUGGGGGGGGGGAGGAAGAGAAUUUGAAACUCAAGAUAAAAAAUGAAUGUUAAAAGUAUUUUUUUACCUGUCAUUGGGAAAUAUUUAAUACAAUAAAAAUAUAUUGGAAAAAUGUAGUAAUAAACUUCUUACCUCCAAAAUGAUUUUUUAAAAAAAAUAUGCAAGUAGCUUAAAAAAGAUGGAGCAUGUCCAAAGAGGUGGGUGGGGAUGGGGGGGGGGGGUGUACAUACACACAUAUACCUAGAACUCCAGAUCUUGUUGUACAAGAAUCAGUUGAAAGAACUGAAGCUAUUUAACCUGGAGGAGAGAAGACAAAGGGGAGUAUGAUAGCUGUCUUUUUAAGUGUCUUGAUAGGCUGUCAUCAUGUGGAAUAUUAGAUUUCUUGGCUUGGUCCGCAAAACUAGCAGAGAGGCAAGAGUUCCUGUCAAUGGAAAUAAAAAUUUCCAAAUAAUUAGUUCUCCUAAAGUAGAAUGGGCUGCCUCAAAAAAAGCAACAAAUUCUCUGUUACUGUGGAUCAACUAGAAGUUGUCAUGAAAAAUGCUGUCCACCUCCAGUGAAGAAAAAUGCAGAUGGAAGCAUAUUUAAAAAAAAAAAAUGG